rnacentral:rRNA from 1 species
AAUGGGGGAAACCCUGAUGCAGCCAUGCCGCGUGUGUGAAGAAGGCCUUCGGGUUGUAAAGCACUUUCAGUUGUGAGGAAAGGUUAACGGUUAAUACCCGUUAGCUGUGACGUUAGCAACAGAAGAAGGACCGGCUAACUCCGUGCCAGCAGCCGCGGUAAUACGGAGGGUCCGAGCGUUAAUCGGAAUUACUGGGCGUAAAGCGCACGCAGGCGGUUUGUUAAGCUAGAUGUGAAAGCCCUGGGCUCAACCUGGGAAUUGCAUUUAGAACUGGCAGGCUAGAGUUUUGGAGAGGGGAGUGGAAUUCCAGGUGUAGCGGUGAAAUGCGUAGAUAUCUGGAGGAACAUCAGUGGCGAAGGCGACUCCCUGGUCAGUAACUGACGCUCAUGUGCGAAAGUGUGGGUAGCGAACAGGAUU